CUACGGGUUGCAGCAGUGGGGAAUAUUGCACAAUGGGGGAAACCCUGAUGCAGCAACGCCGCGUGAGCGAUGAAGGUCUUCGGAUUGUAAAGCUCUGUCUUUAGGGACGAUAAUGACGGUACCUAAGGAGGAAGCCACGGCUAACUACGUGCCAGCAGCCGCGGUAAUACGUAGGUGGCAAGCGUUGUCCGGAUUUACUGGGCGUAAAGGGAGCGUAGGCGGAUUUUUAAGUGGGAUGUGAAAUACCCGGGCUUAACCUGGGUGCUGCAUUCCAAACUGGAAGUCUAGAGUACAGGAGGGGAAAGCGGAAUUCCUAGUGUAGCGGUGAAAUGCGUAGAGAUUAGGAAGAACACCAGUGGCGAAGGCGGCUUUCUGGACUGUAACUGACGCUGAGGCUCGAAAGCGUGGGGAGCAAACAGGAUUAGAUACCCCGGUAGUC
rnacentral:rRNA from 1 species